rnacentral:rRNA from 1 species
CAGUAGCCACGGGAAUACGUAGGGCGCAAGCGUUAUCCGGAAUUAUUGGGCGUAAAGAGCUCGUAGGCGGUUUGUCGCGUCUGCCGUGAAAGUCCGGGGCUCAACCCCGGAUCUGCGGUGGGUACGGGCAGACUAGAGUGAUGUAGGGGAGACUGGAAUUCCUGGUGUAGCGGUGAAAUGCGCAGAUAUCAGGAGGAACACCGAUGGCGAAGGCAGGUCUCUGGGCAUUAACUGACGCUGAGGAGCGAAAGCAUGGGGAGCGAACAGGAUUAGAUACCCCGGUAGUCCCUGUCUCUUAUAC